GAUCGGCUGGAACAACAAAAAAAUUCUAAACACAAUCCAAAAAUUUUUGAACUUGAGGAAAAGAACUAACACUCAAACGAGUCUCCAAAAGGCAGCAUACAUUUGGAUCAUGGUCCCUAAUCAACUUUUUAAAAAUAUUGAAGAAGGAAAAUUUCGCAACCCCCCUACAAUUCCAUGAAAGAAUGAUCAUAAAGAUGAGGAGGA
rnacentral:lncRNA from 1 species